AUUGAACGCUGGCGGAAUGCUUUACACAUGCAAGUCGAGCGGCAGCGCGGGGCAACCUGGCGGCGAGCGGCGAACGGGUGAGUAACAUAUCGGAACGUGUCCUAUCGUGGGGGAUAGCCCGGCGAAAGCCGGAUUAAUACCGCAUACGAUCGAGAGAUGAAAGUGGGGGACCGCAAGGCCUCACGCGACGGGAGCGGCCGAUAUCUGAUUAGCUAGUUGGUGAGGUAAAGGCUUACCAAGGCGACGAUCAGUAGCUGGUCUGAGAGGAUGAUCAGCCACACUGGGACUGAGACACGGCCCAGACUCCUACGGGAGGCAGCAGUGGGGAAUUUUGGACAAUGGGGGCAACCCUGAUCCAGCCAUUCCGCGUGAGUGAAGAAGGCCUUCGGGUUGUAAAGCUCUUUUGUCCGGGAAGAAACGGUUUCAACUAAUACUUGAGACUACUGACGGUACCGGAAGAAUAAGGACCGGCUAACUACGUGCCAGCCGCCGCGGUAAUAC
rnacentral:rRNA from 1 species